AGUGAACGCUGGCGGUAGGCCUAACACAUGCAAGUCGAACGGCAGCACAGUAAGAGCUUGCUCUUACGGGUAGCGAGUGGCGGACGGGUGACACAUACAUAGGCAUCUACUUUUUCUUGGAGGAUAACGUAGAACAACUUCCACUAACACCGCAUACGACCUACGGGUUAAAGCAAUAGUUCUUCGCGCCUUUCGCGUUUGAAAGGGCCGAUUCCGGAUUAGCUAGUUGGCAGGGUAAAGGCCCACCAUGGCGACGAUCCGUAGCCGGCCUGAGAGGAUGAUCAGCCACACUGGAACUGAGACACGGUCCAGACUCCUACGGGAGGCAGCAGUGGGGAAUAUUGCACAAUGGGCGAAAGCCUGAUCCAGCCAUACCGCGUGGGUGAAGAAGGCCUUCGGGUUGUAAAGCCCUUUUGUUGGGAAAGAAAAGCAGCAGGUUAAUACCCCGAUGUUCUGACGGUACCCAAAGAAUAAGCACCGGCUAACUUCGUG
rnacentral:rRNA from 1 species